rnacentral:rRNA from 2 species
AACAGCUCAAAUUUGAAAUCUGGCUCUCGGGCCCGAGUUGUAAUUUGUAGAGGAUGCUUUUGAUGCGGUGCCUUCCGAGUUCCCUGGAACGGGACGCCAUAGAGGGUGAGAGCCCCGUCUGGUUGGAUGCCAAAUCUCUGUAAAGCUCCUUCAACGAGUCGAGUAGUUUGGGAAUGCUGCUCUAAAUGGGAGGUAUAUGUCUUCUAAAGCUAAAUACCGGCCAGAGACCGAUAGCGCACAAGUAGAGUGAUCGAAAGAUGAAAAGCACUUUGAAAAGAGAGUUAAAAAGUACGUGAAAUUGUUGAAAGGGAAGCGUUUAUGACCAGACUUGGGCUUGUUUAAUCAUCCGGGCUUCUGCCCGGUGCACUUGUUCAGCCCAGGCCAGCAUCAUUUUUCGCCGGGGGAUAAAGGCGGCGGGAAUGUGGCUCUCUUCGGGGAGUGUUAUAGCCCAUCGUGUAAUACCCUGGCGGGGAAUGAGGUUCGCGCAUCUGCAAGGAUGCUGGCGUAAUGGUCAUCAACGACCCGUCUUGAAACACGGACCCAAGGAGUCGUCUUCGUAUGCGAGUGUUCGGGUGUCAAACCCCUACGCGUAAAUGAAAGUGAACGCAGGUGAGAGCUUCGGCGCAUCAUCGACCGAUCCUGAUGUUCUCGGAUGGAUUUGAGUAAGAGCAUACGGGGCCGGACCCGAAAGAAGGUGAACUAUGCCUGUAUAGGGUGAAGCCAGAGGAAACUCUGGUGGAGGCUCGCAGCGGUUCUGACGUGCAAAUCGAUCGUCAAAUAUGGGCAUGGGGGCGAAAGACUAAUCGAACCUUCUAGUAGCUGGUUUCCGCCGAAGUUUCCCUCAGGAUAGCAGUGUUGAACUCAGUUUUAUGAGGUAAAGCGAAUGAUUAGGGACUCGGGGGCGCUAUAUUGCCUUCAUCCAUUCUCAAACUUUAAAUAUGUAAGAAGCUCUUGUUGCUUUAUUGAACGUGAGCAUUCGAAUGUAUCAACACUAGUGGGCCAUUUUUGGUAAGCAGAACUGGCGAUGCGGGAUGAACCGAACGCGAGGUUAAGGUGCCAGAGUAGACGCUCAUCAGACACCACAAAAGGUGUUAGUACAUCUUGACAGCAGGACGGUGGCCAUGGAAGUCGGAAUCCGCUAAGGACUGUGUAACAACUCACCUGCCGAAUGUACUAGCCCUGAAAAUGGAUGGCGCUCAAGCGUCUCACCCAUACCUCGCCCU